rnacentral:rRNA from 1 species
UGACCGCUGGCGGCGUGCCUAAUACAUGCAAGUCGAGCGAACAGAUGCGGAGCUUGCUCCUCUGACGUUAGCGGCGGACGGGUGAGUAACACGUGGAUAACCUACCUAUAAGACUGGGAUAACUUCGGGAAACCGGAGCUAAUACCGGAUAAUAUAUUGAACCGCAUGGUUCAAUAGUGAAAGACGGUUUUGCUGUCACUUAUAGAUGGAUCCGCGCCGCAUUAGCUAGUUGGUAAGGUAACGGCUUACCAAGGCAACGAUGCGUAGCCGACCUGAGAGGGUGAUCGGCCACACUGGAACUGAGACACGGUCCAGACUCCUACGGGAGGCAGCAGUAGGGAAUCUUCCGCAAUGGGCGAAAGCCUGACGGAGCAACGCCGCGUGAGUGAUGAAGGUCUUCGGAUCGUAAAACUCUGUUAUUAGGGAAGAACAAAUGUGUAAGUAACUAUGCACGUCUUGACGGUACCUAAUCAGAAAGCCACGGCUAACUACGUG